UGCUUGCCUGUCACCUCCUCUCCCUGCUGCCCUUCUUCCCUCCCGCUGUGUGAUGUGGGGGAGGGAAGAGGGUUGCUCUCCUUGGGACCCGUCUAAGCGCCUGUGUUUAUGUCAACACCUCGAGGAACUGGUGGGGACUGGUCUGUGCCGAUCCCCAGCAGCCCAAAACUGAGCUUUACCUCCUCCCCACUGGCACCUCCCUCCCCCAGCGGAUCCUGUUUGCUUCCUCCUGUUCCUCUUGCUCAAACAACUCCUUGUCGAGCCGCUGCAGGUGUGGCAGCAUGACCAGAACCUCCAGCCGGUAACUGGGUUCCUUACAGCAUGGAUUGUCCAUCAGCACCAGUGCCUGCAGCAUGGGCAGGACCCGCAGUUUUGCCACCUCCUGAAGGCUGCUGAUCCUGUUAUUCCUAACAAGAGGAAGCACAGAGAGCAGGGGAGACAUGCAAGGGAGCAAGAUCUCUUUGGAACAGUGCAUCUUCCUGCAACAGUCUGACAAUCACACCGCGGCAGAAAUGUGUCCUACCAGCUUAGAAGUCCCAAACGCCGAAUUUCAUUCCCAUCACUGCGUUGAGAACUGGGAGGGGCGCUAGGGAAUUACGAAGCUCUGAAUUCCAGUUUCGUAGCAGGAUUCAGGCUGGAGAAGACCACUAGAGGUCUCCUGGCCAUGCCCGGGCUCACUGCAGGUCGAGCAACAUCUCCAAUCAAGCCACUCCCGGUCUUAGGCAGCUAAGUCCUGCAACUUCCCUGGUAACUACCUCACCAUCGCGUUCUGCAGCCUGGAGCUGGGCAGGGCUUCACUUGUGGUUGUGGCUUAGAGCUGCAGUCCCUAAGGACACGGAUACCUGAACGGGAAACAGGGAGAGAGGUGCCACUGCUCCCUGUCCCUCGUAGGUACCCGGGCAGUAGCCAAUGCCUGAAACCAAUAAAAGGGGCACAGGAUGAACUGGUGGGUGAGGAGGACAGUUUUGUAGCAAAGGAGGACUGUAAUGGAAACUGGAUAAGGACAAGUCUGGACCAGCUGGGCCAAGGAAAGAGGGUAACUCGAGGACAAAAGGAGGGAAGGCAGAGAUUUAGCAAAGGCCACGUGAAGCGAUUUAACAGUCAGGAAGGAUUAGGACACAGUACCUCAGAGGACAUCAGGAGCCGGUGGGGGAUAGGGUGAAGGGGAGCUCACUGAUCACUGCUUUGUAAAAUAAAGUGAUCUCCCAUUACUCUCACUUUCUCCACGACUUCAGUGUGAGUGGUUUUUAGUGGCUCUGUUCUUGAAAGCAUUAACAGGACAAUGCAGGGUGGACUUUUUUCAGGGUUGCUUCCUGCCCCUGUCCCCCAAUCAAAUAAUCUCCCAUAUGACCACCCUUUGUUAAAUGGUAUUCUUACCUUAGCUGCCAGUCCUUCACACAGAUAUGAUGCCACCAUUGCUGAUGGAAACCUGCUAUUUUCUGUUCUCCAUGCUUUCCUCUACCCUUCCUGCACACCUGGCCUUGCCCUGGCUCGCCUUUAUCACCACUGCUGCACAACAGCCAGGAACUAAGCCAGCCCCAGUGACAUCAGUGGCCCUCAAACCCACACCCAUGGCACACAGCUGGCAGCAGUCUUCCUGGUGUAACUUUGUUAAUGCUCAGUUUCACCAGCAGCUCUGUCAUGCAUUAACCAAAUUUGCUUCGGUUCCUUUAAA